rnacentral:rRNA from 1 species
CGCUGGCGGCGUGCUAUACAUGCAAGUAGAACGCUGAAGGAGGAGCUUGCUCUUCUGGAUGAGUUGCGAACGGGUGAGUAACGCGUAGGUAACCUGCCUGGUAGCGGGGGAUAACUAUUGGAAACGAUAGCUAAUACCGCAUAAGAGUAGAUGUUGCAUGACAUUUGCUUAAAAGGUGCAAUUGCAUCACUACCAGAUGGACCUGCGUUGUAUUAGCUAGUUGGUGGGGUAACGGCUCACCAAGGCGACGAUACAUAGCCGACCUGAGAGGGUGAUCGGCCACACUGGGACUGAGACACGGCCCAGACUCCUACGGGAGGCAGCAGUAGGGAAUCUUCGGCAAUGGACGGAAGUCUGACCGAGCAACGCCGCGUGAGUGAAGAAGGUUUUCGGAUCGUAAAGCUCUGUUGUAAGAGAAGAACGAGUGUGAGAGUGGAAAGUUCACACUGUGACGGUAUCUUACCAGAAAGGGACGGCUAACUACGUGCCAGCAGCCGCGGUAAUACGUAGGUCCCGAGCGUUGUCCGGAUUUAUUGGGCGUAAAGCGAGCGCAGGCGGUUAGAUAAGUCUGAAGUUAAAGGCUGUGGCUUAACCAUAGUACGCUUUGGAAACUGUUUAACUUGAGUGCAAGAGGGGAGAGUGGAAUUCCAUGUGUAGCGGUGAAAUGCGUAGAUAUAUGGAGGAACACCGGUGGCGAAAGCGGCUCUCUGGCUUGUAACUGACGCUGAGGCUCGAAAGCGUGGGGAGCAAACAGGAUUAGAUANCCUGGUAGUCCACGCCGUAAACGAUGAGUGCUAGGUGUUAGACCCUUUCCGGGGUUUAGUGCCGUAGCUAACGCAUUAAGCACUCCG